rnacentral:rRNA from 1 species
UCGAGAAUCAUUCACAAUGGGCGAAAGCCUGAUGAUGCGACGCCGUGUGAGCGAAGAAGGCCUUAGGGUUGUAAAGCUCUUUCGCCAGGGAACAAGGGAUGUCGAUUAAUACUCGGCAAACUUGAGCGUACCUGGUAAAGAAGCACCGGCUAACUCCGUGCCAGCAGCUGCGGUAAUACGGAGGGUGCAAGCAUUAAUCGGAUUUACUGGGCGUAAAGGGCGCGUAGGCGGAAGUGAAAGUCAGAUGUGAAAGCCCGAAGCUCAACUUCGGAACUGCAUCCGAAACUCCAUUUCUCGAGGGUAGACGGAGAAGACGGAAUUCCACGAGUAGCGGUGAAAUGCGUAGAUAC